rnacentral:rRNA from 1 species
UACGUAGGGGGCUAGCGUUGUCCGGAUUUAUUGGGCGUAAAGAGCGUGUAGGCGGUCAGGUAGGUCCGUUGUGAAAAACUCGAGGCUCAACCUCGAGACGCCGAUGGGAAACCAUCUGACUAGAGUCCGGAAGAGGAGAGUGGAAUUCCUGGUGUAGCGGUGAAAUGCGCAGAUAUCAGGAAGAACACCCGUGGCUAAGGCGGCUCUCUAGUACGGUACUGACGCUGAGACGCGAAAAGCGUGGGGGAGCGAACAGG